UGACGGAGCAAUACCGCGUGGAGGAAGAAGGACCGUGGUUCGUAAACUCCUUUUCUCAGAGAAGAAGAUCUGACGGUAUCUGAGGAAUAAGCCCCGGCUAACUAACUUCGUGCCAGCAGCCGCGGUAAUACGAAGGGGGCAAGCGUUAUCCGGAAUGAUUGGGCGUAAAGCGUCUGUAGGUGGUUUAUGAAGUUCCCUGUCAAAUAUCAGGGCUCAACCUUGAGAAGGCAGUGAAGUACUCAUAGACUAGAGUACGGUAGGGGUAGAGGGAACUCCGCGUGGAGCGGUGAAAUGCGUAGAGAUGCGGAGGAACACCAGUGGCGAAGGCGCUCUACUGGGCCGUUACUGACACUGAGAGACCAAAGCUANGGCAGGGGAAAANGAUUNCCANACCCUUGUAAUCCUUAACUGUAANNAAUGGAAACUUAGUGGNUGCCGAANCCAGUGCUUUAGCUAACAAAUUUANUUUUCCCCCCCNGGAGNAUGCUUCCCCNGGGUGAAACUCCCCGGAAGUUUUUNGGGGGGG
rnacentral:rRNA from 1 species